rnacentral:rRNA from 1 species
GAAUUCCUGGUGUAGCGGUGAAAUGCGCAGAUAUCAGGAGGAACACCGGUGGCGAAGGCGGGUCUCUGGGCAGUUACUGACGCUGAGGAGCGAAAGCAUGGGGAGCGAACAGGAUUAGAUACCCUGGUAGUCCAUGCCGUAAACGUUGGGCGCUAGGUGUGGGGUCCAUUCCACGGAUUCCGUGCCGCAGCUAACGCAUUAAGCGCCCCGCCUGGGGAGUACGGCCGCAAGGCUAAAACUCAAAGGAAUUGACGGGGGCCCGCACAAGCGGCGGAGCAUGCGGAUUAAUUCGAUGCAACGCGAAGAACCUUACCAAGGCUUGACAUGCGCGGUGGAAUCCCAGAGAUGGGGUGUCAUUUAGUUGGUCGCGUACAGGUGGUGCAUGGUUGUCGUCAGCUCGUGUCGCGAGAUGUUGGGUUAAGUCCCGCAACGAGCGCAACCCUCGUUCCAUGUUGCCAGCACGUUAUGGAGGGGACUCAUGGGAGA